AGUGAACGCUGGCGGUAGGCCUAACACAUGCAAGUCGAACGGCAGCACAGGAGAGCUUGCUCUCUAGGUGGCGAGUGGCGGACGGGUGAGGAAUACAUCGGAAUCUGCCCAGUCGUGGGGGAUAACGUAGGGAAACUUACGCUAAUACCGCAUACGACCUUCGGGUGAAAGAGGGGGAUCGCAAGACCUCUCGCGAUUGGAUGAGCCGAUGUCGGAUUAGCUAGUUAGCGGGGUAAUGGCCCACCAAGGCGACGAUCCGUAGCUGGUCUGAGAGGAUGAUCAGCCACACUGGAACUGAGACACGGUCCAGACUCCUACGGGAGGCAGCAGUGGGGAAUAUUGGACAAAGGGCGCAAGUCUGAUCCAGCCAUACCGCGUGGGUGAAGAAGGCCUUCGGGUUGUAAAGCCCUUUUGUUGGGAAAGAAAUCUUUCAGGCUAAUACCCUGGGAGGAUGACGGUACCCAAAGAAUAAGCACCGGCUAACUUCGUG
rnacentral:rRNA from 1 species